rnacentral:rRNA from 1 species
UACGUAGGGUCCGAGCGUUGUCCGGAAUUACUGGGCGUAAAGAGCUCGUAGGUGGUUUGUCGCGUUGUUCGUGAAAACUCACAGCUCAACUGUGGGCGUGCGGGCGAUACGGGCAGACUUGAGUACUGCAGGGGAGACUGGAAUUCCUGGUGUAGCGGUGGAAUGCGCAGAUAUCAGGAGGAACACCGGUGGCGAAGGCGGGUCUCUGGGCAAUUCCUGACGCUGAGGCGCGAAAGCGUGGGGAGCAAACGGG